UGUUGCAGGAGCUGGAAGAGAGAGGACCAUGUUCCUGGCUGGCUGAAAGAGCAGCAGGACCAUGGACAGUUCAGUGCAGGGACCAGGGGCUCCUGGCUGGCUGUGGGGAUUGAGCCAGAACUGAGCCCAGGUAGGGCUGCAGGAAAACAGAGUCUCCCAGGAAGAAGCCCUGGGGAAGGUACGGCCCCAUACCAGAGCCAGAAGAAGGUAAAGACUGUAUAUUCUGGAAGGGGUUUGUUCUGUUCCACCUACAGACAGUGUGUGUGUGUGUGACUCAGCCGCAGGGCUGAGUCACUGAAGACCCACUGAAGAAACCAUUGAUCAAGGACAGGAGGCACUCACAAGAUCUGGGUGCCACCCCGGUCCACAAACUGCAGGCGCAUGCACUUGACCAGGGAGGGCCCCUUCUGUGAGGUCAAAAAACAAUGGAACUAUAUGAAGAACUGUCAUAAAUGUAAAACAUGAGAACCAAACAGUAAGGUCUUGAUCUUUAAAGGAAUGCAUCUGCCUCAUAGCAAAGCAAGACAUACAAUGUAACCUACAAAAUAACUAUUGCUAGGGCUCUAGCUCAGUGAAAUGGAGAUACAGCGAAUCCAGGCAAGCUCACCUGAGUAGCUGCAGACUGACAGGAAGAGGAGGAAGAUGAUGAGACAACAGGAAUAUCAGACUGGACAGCAGCCACAGUGGUAGCAGGAGUAAAAAUCAGCUGGGAAGACAGAAAAGGAAAACUGAAGAAAACACAAUUUACAGAUAAAGUAGUCAGAGCAAGGGGGUGAACAGAGACACAAAGUCAAGCAACCAGAGUCAGAUAAAGAUAUGGAAUGAAGCAGCAACAGAACCAGACAUAUCUUGACUCCCAAUAGUCUGCUCAGACAACUGGACUACAGUGUCUCAAAAUGAAUUUUCAAAUUAGAGAAUAUCAUGUUUAGUAACACAAAGAAGUGACUCUUUUUUCAAGUAUACACUAAGUGUUUUGUGGGGAAAAAACUGUCACAGCUAGAGACUGAAAUCCUCUGUUCAUUAAGAUAACAUGCCAUACAGAUAACACCAAUGGAAGCUUCCCCACAAAGCACCACCAGUAUGUCUCAGUCAUGACCUGCAAGGACUUUCUCUAGGGACAGUUCAGACUCUGUCCAUUCUAUCCUCUCUAGAGCCAGGUGCUGAGAUUGCCAACAAGACUGCAAAUGAGUUCUAAUGGUGGUGGGGGUUUGGUGUUGUAUAUUGUCAACAUUGUUUUAAAAAUAUUUCAGUUCAUCCACUGCAAGAGACAGAAUAAUUUGUAGGUAUAAUACUAGAAUUCCUCAGAAUUAUUCUUGCAAAAAAGGCAAGAAAGAAUGCUUUUAAAGGAUAACCAAAGAGGUUGAGGAGGAUAUCCACUCUGAACUAAGCAGACUACAUGUCUGUUAAAAUGAGACCAUGGAACAGUUAAUUCAACAAACAAGGUUUCAUAAAAAAUAAAAACAUAAUGGCCUAAACCCAAGGUUAUUAUUCAGGAAAAAGUCUUCAAGAUUGGGCCCUGUAACAGAGGCCUGUCCCUUUAAGGCCAAAGGAAGUAAUGUGAGAGACCAGUCACCCCAUUCCAUGUGUCUGGGGAUGGCAGAGAAAGGCUGAAGGAAACCCAAACAGCCACUGGGUCAGAGGAAGAUAGUGUCUGAAGGGGGCAGGGAUAGGAAAAACCCAGGUCAUUGCUCUCUAUGGCAGCAGGAAGGCCCAGGCCCAGGAGCAAGGCUCCCUACCCAGGUGUUUAGGAUAAUUAGACCCACAUGGGAAGGGUCAAGGGAGUGGUCAGAUGAUGGGGAUGGAUGACUCAAAAAAACAAGGUUCCAAGCCCAGUCAGGGAGAGCUUGCUGAAGGGAGGAUUUAAAGGACACAGUCCAACAAGGAAGGUUGUGAAAAGCCCUGAACUAAACAGGGGAGUCUGCAGAUGGAGGAUGCCAGCACUUGAAGCACACAGUCCCAGAAAGGAGGACUUGGGGGACCCUGAACCUAGGGUUGGAUGAAAAGGCAGCUCUUUUGAGAGCUAGGUUAAUGUUUAAUAAAUUAGAACCCAAAAGAGUGAGAAUAUUGUUCCUAAAGACUUUGGAGUGUAAAUGAAUUAUAUCUGGAAACUGAGGUAGGGGACUGCAGUGACAUGCCACACUGCAUGAGGGUGUGCUUGGAGACUGCACUCUCCUACAGGUCUUAAAUAUAGUAUUUUAUAUUAUAAAGAGAACUGUAUCAUAACUAAAGAGACAUGAAAGCGUAUCUUCUGCACUUUCCACAUCACAUCUGAAUCUCCCAAGACUCAGUAAAUAGCUGCUCUCAAAUAUCUAAAAGGGAACUGAAAUGAAAAACUACUGAUAUUGUAUUACUGCUGUACACUACAAUACCUUACAUUAUUUACUUGAAUUGAGUGUCAAAUGUUGAAAUACCAAUAUCACUGGCAUUGGGGGUGAAAAAAUCUGAGUAAAUUAGCUGUUCACACUAGCUAGACAACACAUACUGAAAAGUUAAAUAGAUAUACAUGUUGUGACAUUAUCUGAUUAAAAUAUGACCAUGCAAAUCAUUGUUGCUACCACUGUCGUAUAAUUGCAGCAAAUCUUAUACAAAGUGUGACACGUGGCCAGAAAGGGUUAAGCAUUCUAUAGGCUAAAUGACCCAGAGUCAACCUGUAGAGACAUGUUAGAAAAGUAUGUG